GGCUGUGUAGAUAAAUUAGGCUGCAGUCCUUCAUCUCGCCAGUCUGGUUCUUCUCCCUCUCUCUCUCUCUCUCUCUCUCUCUCUCAUAUCUCCCAUGCCAUCACACAUCAACCAGCCCCAAGAUGUUUCAAUUACACACCCACACACCUCAGCUACAGUGUCAAGUGUCCAUGUGUACCCCAGCACAGCUCCUGUACUGGCUCUUGGUCAUACGUUAUGCAGUAAUACACACUCGUACAUUCUGUACCUUCCCCCAGGAGGUCAGAGCUACCAUUUUGUCCAGCACUGUAAUAAAAGCUUUGCCCAUUACUCUCCCACCGAAAAACGCCGCCGACGGUUCACUGACAGGUUAUUGGUCCCGCUGCGUGAGAGUGUGAAAAGCCUCGGUGAAUCGAUUCUUGACAACGCUCUGGAACUUUCCUUAUGCGCCGCCUCAAAGACUUGAUUUUAACAGCAAAGUGAAGAUCUCAAGGUCAUCAUCCUCCCACUCUCACCUCUCAGAGGGAUAGCAUAUGCUCUGUGGGAUCUACCACAGACUGUGGCCAUCAUACCCAGCCUCAUCUUCUCUUUCCUCUCCAUAAUCUGUGGUUAGAGUCAGGAUUGUGUGGCCAUCUGCCUUCGACUGCAAAUAGCGUAUGCCCACUUCCCUACUUCCCUCAUUGAUGCCUGCUAUGGAUUUCGGCAUCGUUAUUGCAUCAUUUUAUGCUUUCUGUACACCUGCCGCUUUCUUAGCUGUAACUGGCAAACGACAAUGACAGGGGCGAAGCCUGCAUUCAUGCGCCGCUGACCUGAAAUCGCUGCCUUUCUGCAAUA